UAGUCCACGCCGUAAACGAUGGUUACUAGCUGUUCGGACUUCGGUCUGAGUGGUUAAGCGAAAGUGAUAAGUAACCCACCUGGGGAGUACGUUCGCAAGAAUGAAACUCAAAGGAAUUGACGGGGGCCCGCACAAGCGGUGGAGCAUGUGGUUUAAUUCGAUGAUACGCGAGGAACCUUACCUAGGCUCUAAUGCUAUUGGCCAGCUGCUGAAAGGUGGUUUUCCUUCGGGACUGAUAGCAAGGUGCUGCAUGGUUGUCGUCAGCUCGUGCCGUGAGGUGUUGGGUUAAGUCCCGCAACGAGCGCAACCCCCAUUCCUAGUUGCCAUCAUUAAGUUGGGGACUCUAGGGAGACUGCCUCCGUAAGGAGUGAGGAAGGCGGGGAUGACGUCAAAUCAUCAUGGCCUUUAUGCCUAGGGCGACACACGUGCUACAAUGGCAGGUACAGAGGGCAGCUAAGCCGCGAGGUGGAGCCAAUCCCAGAAAGCCUGUCCCAGUUCGGAUUGG
rnacentral:rRNA from 1 species